AUUUUUUGAUUUCUAUUCGUUUCAACUGUACAUCUUGCUGAAUGCAAAGGUAAAUUUUGUGCU
ensembl:ncRNA Y58A7A.10 ncRNA